rnacentral:tRNA from 1 species
AAGAUAUUAGUAAAAUGUAUUACACUGCUUUGUCAGGGCAGAAUUGUGAGUUAAACCCUCACGUGUCUUA